UGAAAGUGUUGUUACUUGGCUCCUGUUAUUCUUGAUUUUUGCAGGGAUGCAAUAGAUGAAUAUGCCAUGGAAUUGAAAAACCUUGCCGUGAAAAUCCUAGACCUAAUGGCUAAAGCUUUACACAUGAAAGCUGAGGAAAUGAAUAUGGUUUUCGAAGAAGGGAUGCAAGCAAUGAGGAUGAAUUACUAUCCUCCCUGCCCCCAGCCGGAGCUUGUUACAGGCCUUUACCCCCACUCUGAUGCAGUUGGACUCACCAUCCUCCUCCAAGUCAACGAAAUUGAAGGUCUUCAGAUUAAGAAAGAUGGAGCUUGGAUUCCUGUUGUACCACUCCCUAAUGCUUUUGUUAUCAACAUUGGAGACAUUUUAGAGGUAUUUGUACAUGGUCAAAUGGCCUAAAGUCGCUCCAUUUAUAAAUUGUUCUCUCUACGGUUUGUAUAGCUAUAGGCUAUAAAUUAUGUUGUAUUUAUUGAGAUCUGUUGUGUCUUUUUAUCGUUUCCAUUGGAUCUUAUCAUUACCUGCUUUGACAGAUUGUGACAAAUGGAAUUUACCGAAGCAUUGAACAUCGAGCAACUGUCAACUUGAAGAAAGAAAGGCUCUCCAUUGCCACAUUUUUCAACCCAAAUAUAGAUGGUGAUUUUGGUCCAGCACCGAGCCUUGUGACCCCUGAAACUCAAGCAAAGUUUAAAAGAAUCAGCUUUGUUGAUUAUAUGAAAGGACUAUUUUCGCGGGAACUUGAUGGCAAAUCAUUCCUUGACACAAUGAGAAUUUAGAGAAAGAACAAUCUGGUUCUUGAUUUAUGUAUGCUGAGUUCAUUAAAUGAGAAAUAUGGUAUCUGCUAAUAUUUAUGUAUGGUAUGGCAGCUGCUAUCUGUACCCAAAAUCGAAUUGCUUUGAUUGAAUAAAAUCUGUGUCAACUAGUAGAAGAAUGAAUUAAGUCUUGUUAACGAGGCCCUUUUAUUGAUUAGCCAA
rnacentral:lncRNA from 1 species